GGGCGGUUAGCUCAGCUGGUAGAGCGCAUGCCUUACAAGCAUGAUGUCACAGGUUCGAGUCCUGUACUGCCCACCA
rnacentral:tRNA from 1 species